ACUCAAAGGAAUUGACGGGGACCCGCACAAGCGGUGGAACAUGUGGUUUAAUUCGAGGCAACGCGAAGAACCUUACCAGGAUUUGACAUGCCUCUCGCGGACUCCCGAAAAGGAGUCCUUCGGUUCGGCCGGAGAGAGCACAGGUGCUGCAUGGCUGUCGUCAGCUCGUGUCGUGAGAUGUUGGGUUAAGUCCCGCAACGAGCGCAACCCUCAUUCUCUGUUGCUAACAGGUUAGGCUGAGCACUCUGAGAAAACUGCCGGUGAUAAGCCGGAGGAAGGUGGGGAUGACGUCAAGUCCUCAUGGCCCUUACAUCCUGGGCUACACACGUGUUACAAUGGCGGUGACAAUGGGCUGCGACCCCGCAAGGGCUAGCUAAUCCCCAAAAGCCGCCUCAGUUCGGAUCGUACUCUGCAACUCGAGUACGUGAAGCUGGAAUCGCUAGUAAUCGUGGAUCAGCACGCCACGGUGAAUACGUUCCCGGGUCUUGUACACACCGCCCGU
rnacentral:rRNA from 1 species